UUUCCGUAGGUGAACCUGCGGAAGGAUCAUUAUUGAAUGAAACACUUCUGGCUUUAUGCUGUUGUGCUGGCCCUUUGGGCAAUGUGCACACGGCUCUGGUCACUUGUUUCUUCUGUUCCACCUGUGCACUGCCUGUAGACACGCUGUGUCUAUGAUAUUUGUUAACACACAACAAUGUUAGUUUGCAUGUUAUAUAUAAUAAUAAAAUAUACAACUUUCAACAACGGAUCUCUUGGCUCUCGCAACCAAGAAGAAAGCACAAGAUCGGAUGAACAAACG
rnacentral:misc_RNA from 1 species